AACGUACCCAGUGGUGGGGGAUAACGCAGCGAAAGCUGCGCUAAUACCGCAUACGCUCUCUGGAGGAAAGUGGGGGACCUGUAAAAAGGCCUCACGCUAUUGGAGCGGCCGAUAUCUGAUUAGCUAGUUGGUGAGGUAAAGGCUCACCAAGGCAACGAUCAGUAGCUGGUCUGAGAGGACGACCAGCCACACUGGAACUGAGACACGGCCCAGACUCCUACGGGAGGCAGCAGUGGGGAAUUUUGGACAAUGGGGGGAACCCUGAUCCAGCAAUGCCGCGUGAGU
rnacentral:rRNA from 1 species